rnacentral:rRNA from 1 species
GAUGAACGCUGGCGGCGUGCCUAAUACAUGCAAGUCGAGCGAACGGACGAGAAGCUUGCUUCUCUGAUGUUAGCGGCGGACGGGUGAGUAACACGUGGAUAACCUACCUAUAAGACUGGGAUAACUUCGGGAAACCGUAGCUAAUACCGGAUAAUAUUUUGAACCGCAUGGUUCAAAAGUGAAAGACGGUCUUGCGGUCACUUAUAGAUGGAUCCGCGCUGCAUUAGCUAGUUGGUAAGGUAACGGCUUACCAAGGCAACGAUGCAUAGCCGACCUGAGAGGGUGAUCGGCCACACUGGAACUGAGACACGGUCCAGGCUCCUACGGGAGGCAGCAGUAGGGAAUCUUCCGCAAUGGGCGAAAGCCUGACGGAGCAACGCCGCGUGAGUGAUGAAGGUCUUCGGAUCGUAAAACUCUGUUAUUAGGGAAGAACAUAUGUGUAAGUAACUGUGCACAUCUUGACGGUACCUAAUCAGAAAGCCACGGCUAACUACGUG